rnacentral:rRNA from 1 species
AGAGUUUGAUUCUGGCUCAGAACGAACGCUGGCAGCGUGGAUUAGGCAUGCAAGUCGAACGUGAAGCUGUUGAUCAAUUCUUCGGAAGAGUGAAGCAGUGGUAAGUGGCGGAAGGGUGAGUAACGCGUGGGUAACCUACCCCUUAGUUGGGGACAACCCCUGGAAACGGGGGCUAAUACCGAAUGUGGUGUCCCGGGGCAUCUCGGGAUUACUAAAGGCGGGGAUUCUUCGGAACCUGUCGCUCAGGGAGGGGCCCGCGUCCCAUCAGCUUGUUGGUAGGGUAACGGCCUACCAAGGCUUACGGGUAGCUGGUCUGAGAGGAUGGUCAGCCACACUGGGACUGAGACACUGCCCAGACUCCUACGGGAGGCUGCAGUCGAGGAUCAUUCGCAAUGCGCGGAAGCGUGACGAUGCGACGCUGCGUGGAGGAUGACAGCCUUCGGGUUGUAAACUCCUGUCAUGAGGGAAGAACCACUCCGUGACCAAUACUCACGGGGUCUGACGGUACCUCAAGAGGAAGCCACGGCUAACUCUGUGCCAGCAGCCGCGGUAAUACAGAGGUGGCGAGCGUUGUUCGGAUUUACUGGGCGUAAAGCGUGCGUAGGCGGUUUUGUAUGUCGGAUGUGAAAUCCCGAGGCUCAACCUCGGAACUGCAUCCGAAACUGCAGGACUUGAGUGCAGGAGGGGAGAGCGGAAUUCUUGGUGUAGCGGUGAAAUGCGUUGACAUCAAGAAGAACACCGGUGGCGAAGGCGGCUCUCUGAAAUGUUACUGACGCUGAGGCACGAAAGCUGGGGGAGCAAACAGGAUUAGAUACCCUGGUAGUCCCAGCCGUAAACGUUGCGCACUUGGUGUUGGAGGAAUUGACCCCUUCAGUGCCGGAGCUAACGCAUUAAGUGCGCCGCCUGGGGAGUACGGUCAAGAUUAAAACUCAAAGAAAUUGACGGGGGCCCGCACAAGCGGAGGAGCAUGUGGCUUAAUUCGAUGCAACGCGAAGAACCUUACCAGGGCUUGACAUGGUACUGCACGCCUCCUGAAAGGGAGGAAGCUUUCGAAGGUGUAUCACAGGUGCUGCAUGGCUGUCGUCAGUUCGUGCCGUGAGGUGUUGGGUUAAGUCCCGCAACGAACGCAACCCCUGUGGUUAGUUGCCACCGUAGGUGAUGAGCCUGCGAGCACUCUAGCCAGACUGCCCGUACAAGCGGGA